GGUUAACGCUGGCGGCGUGCCUAACACAUGCAAGUCGAACGGUUCUAAGCGCGAGCUUAGGAUAGUGGCGAACGGGUGAGUAAAAGGUAGGAAUCUACCCCUUGGACGGAGAUAGCUACUGGAAACGGUAGGUAAACUUCGAUAAGCCCGAGAGGGGAAAGUGGUGAGACAGCCGAGGGAUGAGCCUACUCUCCAUCAGGUAGUUGGUGAGAUAAAAGCUUACCAAGCCGAUGACGGAUAACCGGUGUGAGAGCAUGAACGGUCACAAGGGCACUGAGAGACGGGCCCUACUCCUACGGGAGGCAGCAGUGGGGAAUUUUGGACAAUGGGCGCAAGCCUGAUCCAGCCAUGCCGCGUGAGUGAAGAAGGCCUUCGGGUUGUAAAGCUCUUUCGGCCGGGAAGAAAUCGCAUGGGUUAAUACCCUGUGUGGAUGACGGUACCGGAAUAAGAAGCACCGGCUAACUACGUG
rnacentral:rRNA from 1 species